AUGAAGCCGGAAUCGCUAGUAAUCGCGGAUCAGAAUGCCGCGGUGAAUACGUUCCCGGGUCUUGUACACACCGCCCGUCACACCAUGGGAGUCGGUAACGCCCGAAGCCAGUGACCCAACUGAGAAGAGGGAGCUGUCUAAGGCGGGACCGAUAACUGGGGUGAAGUCGUAACAAGGUACC
rnacentral:rRNA from 1 species